AUGAUAUGUCAGCAAGCCACUUUCGAGCCUUGCUCAUUUACAUCAGUAUUUGUUUUCACAUUAGUGCACCAUGGUCUUUUUGUCUUUCAUUUCUACCUAAAGAGCAACAAUCAGACUUUCUAUGAGAACUUCAGGUAUCAGUGCGACAAACGGGCUAACCCAUAUAACAUGAUUGCUUGGAGCUGA
rnacentral:rRNA from 1 species